CAUCAUCCAUGGCAAAUCCAUCACAUACUUGGCUUCACAUUGAAAUGGUUCAUUAGCUUCAUCUCACACGACUUGUCACAAUGCAUAUCCACGAACCAAUUCAGUUAAUGUUUGACGAUUAGUAAAAUUUUAGAGUAAAUCGACGGAUGCAUGAAUAAAUCGACUGGUGCAUUGCAAUGGGAGAAAACAACACCAUACACACACACCACCAAGCUCUAGAACCUUUCCCUUCAGCAUGUCAAUCAGGCAUACUCAGCCCCAUGCACUCGGUCGCACGAUGAUCUUGUACCCCUGCAGCCCAACCAGCGACGUCGGCGGCGAGUUAAGGCAAUAUUGAUUGACAAGCACUGGCGACCUACAUAGGAUGGAGGAAAAAAGGGCAGAACAGGGAGGCUUGUAUCUAUCAAGCAUAAAUAUUUGCUGAACCUAAUCGAUUUGAUCAGUACCAAUUUGAGCAAGAUUGUCAAAUAGCUUCUUGAUAUGGCAUCUACAUCAGAAAAUCCAGCACACCAAAUAUAUACAUAUGUUUAGUAAUGACACGGAAAUCAGAUUGUUCCAAAGAUAGUGAGGAUUGACAAAGGGUCUUGAAGAAUUUUGACAAUGUAACAUAAUAGGUCACAACCUCCAUCACAAUGUAAACCGUACCAAUAUGAACAGGAUUGUUUCAAGGUUAUAGUAAUUGUAACCUCAAAAAUAUUCCAUCUAAAUCCUGGUAUAUGUUCCUUUUUUAGAUCGUUUAUAGAAUCAAUAAUAUAUAACGACAUGAGGAUCAAUGAUCAAAGAUCGACUAAGAAACUCAGGGAUUAGGGAAUCAUACUUACCUUGUUAAGAAUGGUAUCGAUGGAAUUAGUGAAGGGAUGUGUGGUACACAGACCAAUAGAUCCGUGCGUCCUUGAUACACGCAUGUACGUACAGGAAGGUUGAUGGGUUGAAACUUGAAAGGAGAUUGAUUCAUCUCUCGACCAGACAAUACAAGAACAUGAUUUCGUUCUGUAUCUUUAGCCCAAGCACCCCUAUCUCUGUGUUCUCUUAUUUCUUCGCACUGUCCUCAUCACCUCGGCAUCCCGAUCUAGUGCCUCUGGCCAUGCCACCCCGGUGACGUCGCCCCAGCCUGCCCACUUGUGUUGCACGGCUUCUCCACAAGCUUUUGCUUCUGUGUUUGCUGCGUCAGCCCCACCAUGCCAUGGCCACUAUCUCGCAAUAUGGGAAAAUCUGGAGGGGAGAGGCAAUUAAAAAAAGAAUUUGGUUCUUGCUUUCCAAUUAAGAUCUGAAUGAAGACGUUGUGGCGUCAAGAGACGGCCAUCUGAAUUUCCACGACGACACAAAACUGAAUGCAAGUAAUAUUGCUCUAUGAAAAUCUACACAGGAGUACACCAAGAGCUGCACGGACAUUUUCUCCAUGUAGUAUGGUUAAAACUACCCUGUUCCACUGUUUCUCGUUUCCAAAUCUGCAAUUCAUAAGCACAAAAAGGUAAAUCCUUAGGUUCAGUAUUUUGUUCAGAACAGAAAAACAAAUCUUCUUAGUUGGGAUGCACCUUAUGCAGAUGUAUAAAAGUCUAGUACUCUGUUCCUCCUUUCCAAAUCUGCAAUUCCUUGCUUUCCAAAUCAGACUGCUUAAUUUACAAACAAAGAAACUUGUGUUGCUUGCCAUGAAAGAGAUGGAGGCAGGGAAAUAAAACCGUAGAAAACAUGAUGCGUAUGCUGCUUGUUGUGGAAGAGAUGGAGGCUCAAGAUGUGGCAUGUGUCGCUGUCGUGGAAGAGAUAGGGGCUGACGGGCUCGGGAGCGGAGCACCUUGAGAGGACGCCGGAGCAGGUCGGCACCCGCACAUCCUGCCUCGCUUCAGUUGCCUGAUGCGCACCCCCCUCCCCGAGCGUAGCACCGCCUCCCCGCCAUU
rnacentral:lncRNA from 1 species